UGAGGAAUAUUGGGCAAUGCCCGAAAGGGUGACCCAGCAACGCCGCGUGGAGGAUGAAGGUCGUAAGAUUGUAAACUCCUGUUAGAGGGGAAGAAUAACUAAGUUUGGAGCUUAGUAUGACUGUACCCUCAGAGAAAGCCCCGGCUAACUACGUGCCAGCAGCCGCGGUAAUACGUAGGGGGCAAGCGUUGCCCGGAUUUACUGGGUGUAAAGGGCGCGCAGGCGGAAUGGAAAGUCAGUGGUGAAAUCCUACAGCUUAACUGUAGAACUGCCUUUGAUACUUUCAUUCUUGAGUUCGGGAGAGAGAGACGGAAUUCCAGGUGUAGUGGUGAAAUACGUAGAUAUCUGGAAGAACACCAGUUGCGAAGGCGGUCUCUUGGUCCGAUACUGACGCUGAGGCGCGAAAGCGUGGGGAGCAAACA
rnacentral:rRNA from 1 species